rfam:Hordeum vulgare subsp. vulgare, WGS project CAJW01000000 data, contig: morex_contig_2551626
UAUAUACUCCCUCCGUCCCAAAAAUUUUGUCUCAGGUUUAUCUAAAAAUGAAUGUAUCUAAAUACUAAAAGGUGACUAGAUACAUUCAUAUUUAGACAAAUCUAAGACAAGAAUUUUGGGAAGGUGGGAGUAUAUU